rnacentral:tRNA from 1 species
GCGUCCGUAGCUCAGUUGGUUAGAGCACCACCUUGACAUGGUGGGGGUCGGUAGUUAGAGUCUACUCGGACGCACCA